UACGUAGGGACCGAGCGUUGUCCGGAAUCAUUGGGCGUAAAGAGCGUGUAGGCGGCCUUUUAAGUCCUGCGUGAAAUCCUGCGGCUCAACCGCAGACGGUCGUGGGAAACUGGAAGGCUAGAGUGCGGGAGAGGAGAGUGGAAUUCCCGGUGUAGCGGUGAAAUGCGCAGAUAUCGGGAAGAACACCCGUGGCGAAGGCGGCUCUCUGGUACGGUACUGACGCUGAGACGCGAAAGCGUGGGGAGCGAACAGG
rnacentral:rRNA from 1 species